GGAGACGUGGGUGAGUGGCUGAAACCAACGGUUUGCUAAACCGUCGUACGGAUACAUCUGUACCGAGGGUUCGAAUCCCUCCGUCUCCGCCA
rnacentral:tRNA from 1 species